AAGACCUGUAAGACUCUGUCUUACAUCACUUGAAUGCAACCCAAAUACUUUAAUUAAGCUAAGACCUU
rnacentral:tRNA from 1 species